rnacentral:rRNA from 1 species
AGGUCUUGACAUCCGAUGCUAUUCUAGAGAUAGAAAGUUACUUCGGUACAUCGGUGACAGGUGGUGCAUGGUUGUCGUCAGCUCGUGUCGUGAGAUGUUGGUUAAGUCCCGCAACGAGCGCAACCCCUAUUGUUAGUUGCCAUCAUUCAGUUGGGCACUCUAGCGAGACUGCCGGUAAUAAACCGGAGGAAGUGGGAUGACGUCAAAUCAUCAUGCCCCUUAUGACCUGGGCUACACACGUGCUACAAUGGUUGGUACAACGAGUUGCGAGUCGGUGACGGCGAGCUAAUCUCUUAAAGCCAAUCUCAGUUCGGAUUGUAGGCUGCAACUCGCCUACAUGAAGUCGGAAUCGCUAGUAAUCGCGGAUCAGCACGCCGCGGUGAAUACGUUCCCGGGCCUU